rnacentral:rRNA from 1 species
GUGCCAGAAGAACGCGGUAAUACGUAGGGUGCGAGCGUUAAUCGGAAUUACUGGGCGUAAAGCGUGCGCAGGCGGUUCGUUAAGACAGAUGUGAAAUCCCCGGGCUUAACCUGGGAACUGCAUUUGUGACUGGCGAGCUAGAGUAUGGCAGAGGGGGGUAGAAUUCCACGUGUAGCGGUGAAAUGCGUAGAGAUGUGGAGGAAUACCGAUGGCGAAGGCAGCCCCCUGGGCCAAUACUGACGCUCAUGCACGAAAGCGUGGGGAGCAAACAGGAUUAGAUACCCUGGUAGUCCACGCCCUAAACGAUGUCAACUAGUUGUUGGGUCUUCAUUGACUUAGUAACGUAGCUAACGCGUGAAGUUGACCGCCUGGGGAGUACGGUCGCAAGAUUAAAACUCAAAGAAAUUGACGGGA